ensembl:snRNA U6 U6 spliceosomal RNA
GGCUGAGCCACCGAGCCCCGCUAAUACAGAGAAGUUUAGCAUGGCCUUUGUGCAAGGAUGACAGGUAAAUUAAAAUUAAAAAAAAAACCAAA